AGAGUUUGAUCCUGGCUCAGAGCGAACGCUGGCGGCAGGCUUAACACAUGCAAGUCGAGCGGGCGUAGCAAUACGUCAGCGGCAGACGGGUGAGUAACGCGUGGGAACGUACCUUUUGGUUCGGAACAACACAGGGAAACUUGUGCUAAUACCGGAUAAGCCCUUACGGGGAAAGAUUUAUCGCCGAAAGAUCGGCCCGCGUCUGAUUAGCUAGUUGGUGAGGUAAUGGCUCACCAAGGCGACGAUCAGUAGCUGGUCUGAGAGGAUGAUCAGCCACAUUGGGACUGAGACACGGCCCAAACUCCUACGGGAGGCAGCAGUGGGGAAUAUUGGACAAUGGGCGCAAGCCUGAUCCAGCCAUGCCGCGUGAGUGAUGAAGGCCCUAGGGUUGUAAAGCUCUUUUGUGCGGGAAGAUAAUGACGGUACCGCAAGAAUAAGCCCCGGCUAACUUCGUGCCAGCAGCCGCGGUAAUACGAAGGGGGCUAGCGUUGCUCGGAAUCACUGGGCGUAAAGGGUGCGUAGGCGGGUCUUUAAGUCAGGGGUGAAAUCCUGGAGCUCAACUCCAGAACUGCCUUUGAUACUGAAGAUCUUGAGUUCGGGAGAGGUGAGUGGAACUGCGAGUGUAGAGGUGAAAUUCGUAGAUAUUCGCAAGAACACCAGUGGCGAAGGCGGCUCACUGGCCCGAUACUGACGCUGAGGCACGAAAGCGUGGGGAGCAAACAGGAUUAGAUACCCCCGUAGUCC
rnacentral:rRNA from 1 species